UCUGCCUCCCGAGUGCUGGGAUUAAAGGCGUGCGCCACCACCGCUGGGCUUGUUUGUUUGUUUGUUUGUUUUUAAUCAAGGUUUUUUGUUUUUGUUUUUUUUGUAACGAAGUGAUUGUCUUUGAACUGCUGCAAGGUGCACAGCCUCAACAAAGGUUUCUUUCAGUCACUCCUUCUUGGGGAAUGUUUGCUUCCGCCUUAAACUAGAGCCAUGUCCACUAAUUUAGUGGAGACGUUAAGAGCAGAGUAGGUAGUAUUCACCAAAACUAAAGAUCAAAUAAAAUCAUGAAUGGAACAAAUGUUCAGGCAGAUGAAGUGAGUUUUGCAUGGGGUCAAUCACCGUAUGUAGGGCAAAAGUGUCCAGGCCUUCUCUUUUGUGAAGGUGGCCUCUAAUGUGUGAAAGGCCAUUUUCUCUAUAGAAAAACUAGUGACACAGGACACAGGAGGCCUGUCAGGUGUCAUGUUAACAUCUUUCACUUUUGAGCGGGUGCAAAAGUACUGUGAAAAAAAAUUAGAAAUUAACUUGAAAAUCUCAAAGCACUGCUAACUGCACUCCAGUUCUCCCACUGUAGCCUGGGCUGACCCAGUCAAGCUUCCACAGAUAAUGCUUAUUCCGAACUGUCCUAAUUAUCCAGAACUCAAGCCAUCCAAGACCAUGUAAGACAUAAGGCCACGUGCUUUUCCUAGUUCUCACUAUGACUCAUGGCAAGAAACAUUUGGGGUAGGACCAAGGGCAAGCAUAGAGACCCACAUAUCUGAAAAGAUAGCAUCAUGAGGCAGAAUUAUUUCUCUUCCUCCUUAAUUCAACCCAUUAUUUUUC
rnacentral:lncRNA from 1 species